rnacentral:rRNA from 1 species
AGAGUUUGAUCCUGGCUCAGGAUGAACGCUGGCGGCAUGCCUAAUACAUGCAAGUCGAACGAGGAUCCUUCGGGAUCCUAGUGGCGAACGGGUGAGUAACACGUAGGGAACCUGCCCGCGCACCGGGAAUACGCUCUGGAAACGGAGAACAAAUCCCGAUGUACAGGAAGGAGGCAUCUUCUUUCUGUGAAACAUCCUGUAAGGGAUGGGGCGCGGAUGGACCUGCGGUGCAUUAGUUAGUUGGCGAGGGUAAAGGCCCACCAAGACGAUGAUGCAUAGCCGGCCUGAGAGGGCGGACGGCCACAUUGGGACUGAGACACGGCCCAGACUCCUGCGGGAGGCAGCAGUAGGGAAUUUUCGUCAAUGGGCGCAAGCCUGAACGAGCGAUGCCGCGUGAGUGAAGAAGGCCUUCGGGUCGUAAAGCUCUGUUGCGGGGGAAAAAAGGCAUCUGCAGGAAAUGGUAGAUGACAGAUGGUGCCCCGCCAGAAAGUCACGGCUAACUACGUGCCAGCAGCCGCGGUAAUACGUAGGUGGCGAGCGUUAUCCGGAAUGAUUGGGCGUAAAGGGUGCGCAGGCGGUCCUGCAAGUCUGGAGUGAAACGUAUGAGCUCAACUCAUGCAUGGCUCUGGAAACUGGAGGACUGGAGAGCAGGAGAGGGCGGUGGAACUCCAUGUGUAGCGGUAAAAUGCGUAGAUAUAUGGAAGAACACCAGUGGCGAAGGCGGCCGCCUGGCCUGUUGCUGACGC